AGGUUUUUGAAAUUUUGUCCAGAUUGCAAAGAUUUGCUGACAAUUCAAAGCCCAUUUUCUGGUCAGAUGGAGAAACAGUAACUGCUGCUGUUGUGGCAUUAUUCAAUUAUAAUGGAAACAAGGUGGUGAUUGAUUUCCUGAAUGAUGGAUUAUAUGCUGCAAUUCAGAACACUUUUAACAAUUUACAGCGGCUUGCUCGUGCCCUGACCCUGGAUGCUAUUUCUUUUGAAUAUCUAAAUAGGAUCGACAUUACAGAUAUCAGUAAAUUAUCAUACGAUGAUGUGUUGAAUCAUUCAAGCUGCAAUAACACUGAAUUUGCUGGGUAUGUGCUUGAAUGGAAUGAUGAAAGUGGAGUGAUUUGCAGAUCCCCC